CCUACGGGAGGCUGCAGUGGGGAAUAUUGCACAAUGGGCGCAAGCCUGAUGCAGCCAUGCCGCGUGUGUGAAGAAGGCCUUCGGGUUGUAAAGCACUUUCAGCGGGGAGGAAGGCGGUGAGGUUAAUAACCUCAUCGAUUGACGUUACCCGCAGAAGAAGCACCGGCUAACUCCGUGCCAGCAGCCGCGGUAAUACGGAGGGUGCAAGCGUUAAUCGGGAUUACUGGGCGUAAAGCGCACGCAGGCGGUCUGUCAAGUCGGAUGUGAAAUCCCCGGGCUCAACCUGGGAACUGCAUUCGAAACUGGCAGGCUAGAGUCUUGUAGAGGGGGGUAGAAUUCCAGGUGUAGCGGUGAAAUGCGUAGAGAUCUGGAGGAAUACCGGUGGCGAAGGCGGCCCCCUGGACAAAGACUGACGCUCAGGUGCGAAAGCGUGGGGAGCAAACAGGAUUAGAUACCCCUGUAGUC
rnacentral:rRNA from 1 species